rnacentral:misc_RNA from 1 species
CUGGCUUACCUCCUCAGUUAUGCGUCAAAGGGUAGUAUCUCCUUGAGCGUAUUGUGGGUUUCCUGUGUUGAAUUCCAAUUUGAUGGUAUUGUUUUGGCUGAUCGAAGUCCCUUUUCGUCUUGUGUUGCCUUUGUGAUUCAAGAUGAACCGUGAAGUGGUCUCUAUGUUCCACUAUGUUGAUGCAAAUGCAUUGAUGUCGUGGCCCAUUGAGUGUUGCUUGGAAUCCUGGAUACGGAACAUUAUGUGGGCAUGGGGUCUUUCAUGGCUCUUGUUUUGUCCUCGUUUAGUGUUCUUUGAAACGACAGUUCAUGCGCGCCUAGGCUCGUACCUGCGCGAUGAUCUUUGUCAAAGAGGAAUGCUACCUGGUUGAUCCUGCCAGUAGUCAUAUGCUUGUCUCAAAGAUUAAGCCAUG